rnacentral:rRNA from 1 species
AUGGUCUCAAUCAACCCGGAGUCAAAAUCGAGAGCUGUGAACAGGGAGGUACUCAGUGAGCUAAUCAAGUUGCACGGGAAGACAUCCCUCGGGGGCAAAUUGCCUGCCUAUGAUGGAAGAAAGAGUCUCUACACUGCAGGCUCACUCCCUUUUGAGUCUGAGGAGUUUUCUGUUACACUGGUUGAUCCCGAAAAGAAAGACAAAGAAAAGGCUGAAAGGGAGUACAAGAUCACCAUUCUGAUUGCUGGGAGGACAGACCUGUACCACCUCCAGCAGUUUCUCAAAGGAAGACAGAGGGAUAUGCCUCAAGAAACCAUCCAAGUUCUUGAUGUUGUCCUCAGGGAGUCACCAUCCUGGAACUAUGUCACAGUGUCCAGAUCCUUCUUCUCCACCACCUUUGGUCACAGAGGAGACAUUGGUGAAGGAUUAGAGUGCUGGAGAGGUUACUACCAGAGCUUAUGUCCAACCCAGAUGGGGCUGUCACUCAAUAUAGACAUAUCUGCAACAUCCUUCUUCAAGCCUGUGACAGUGGUCCAGUUUGUGCUAGAGUUCCUCAACUUACGUGAUGCCUCGCGGCCUCUGACAGACAGGGACCGUGUUAAGAUAAAGAAAGCACUCCGUGGGGUGCGUGUCGAAACAAACCACCAGGAAGACCAAAUCAGAAGAUACAAGAUAACAGGGAUUACUCCUGUUCCCAUGAGCCAGCUCACAUUUCCUGUUGAUGAGAGAGGAACAAGAAUGUCAGUUGUUCAGUACUUCAUGCAAAGAUACAAAUACAAUCUGCAGUAUACUUCUUGGCCCUGCUUGCAGUCUGGAAGUGAUGCUCGGCCUGUGUAUCUGCCUAUGGAGGCGUGCAAGAUUGUUGAAGGGCAAAGGUACUCUAAGAAACUGAAUGACAAGCAGGUCACCAACAUACUUAGAGCUACCUGUCAACGUCCCCAGCAGCGGGAGCAAAGCAUUCGUGAGAUGGUUCUGCACAACAAGUAUGCUGAGGACAAGUUUGCUCAGGAGUUCGGAAUCAACGUCUGCAGUGACCUGGUCUCUGUUCCAGCCCGUGUGCUGCCUCCCCCCAUGUUGAGAUAUCAUGAUUCUGGAAAGGAGAAAACUUGUGUGCCAAGUGUUGGACAGUGGAACAUGAUUAACAAGGUUGGGCGGCCACCUUCCAUUGAGAAGGCCUUUACUAGAUUUGGUGUUCCGGCUUUGAAAAAUAUCCCAACCAUUAUCUUUGGUGCUGAUGUUACACACCCCCCACCUGGAGAGGACUCUGCAUCAUCUGUUGCUGCGGUGGUGGCAUCAAUGGACUGGCCAGAGAUCACCAAGUACAGUGGUCUUGUCUCUGCUCAACCACACAGGCAGGAGAUAAUCGAAAACCUCUUCAGUGUCACCAAAGAUCCGCAGAGGGGUAAUGUCAAUGGUGGCAUGAUCAGGGAGUUACUGAUUGCCUUCCGCAGGAAGACAGGCCGGAGGCCUGAGAGGAUACUCUUCUACAGGGAUGGCGUAAGUGAAGGCCAAUUCAGCCAUGUUCUGCUUCAUGAAAUGGACGCAAUCAGGAAGGCCUGUGCCUCAUUGGAGGAGGGUUAUCAACCCAAGGUCAAUUUUGUUCCUGUCGAGAAGAAACAUUACACCAGGCUACUCUCUGGGGAUCAUGGGAGGCAUGAUAUGACUGACAAAAGUGGAAACAAACUUUCUGGUCUUGUCACGGCUCAUGAAAAUAAUGGGCAGCACAUACCCAUCGAUAUAUCUAUUGUCAGUCAAGCCGGUAGAUUAGUAGUACAGUUCCCUUUCAACAGUACGUGUUAUUCACUGAAGACUGCUAUUGAAAAGAAACUGAAUGUUUCAAUCAAUAGUUGUUCAUUGUAUCUUGCAAGAAAGCCUAUUGACUACGGAAAGACCCUAGCUUACUAUGGCUUACGGGAUAAGUCUGUGCUUAGGAUGGAGGCAAAAUUGCUAGGCGGUGCUUCUAUUGGGGUUCCUCAAACGGUUGCUCAAACUUUCUCAGACCAAACCUUAAAAGAAUACAGUGCUGAUAGCACCAAGUUCUUUCGAACGGUGUCUGUUCGAGAUAAAGACAGGCCUGGGAGACGCCGUCGUAUUACAGUAUUCAACAAGAAUGGCAAUAUUCUUGGUCUUAGUGUAGUAGAUCAACUGAAGAAGGCAAUAAAAAAUAAAAAAUCAUGGAAUGGGCAACUGAAAAAGAAGGAUUUUAGGGUAGUUGAUGGGCGGGCUGUGAUAAUUAAAGAGCCUAUUUAUGGUAUUAAUGCUGUUAAUUUGCCCAAGGAUUGCAAAAAAAUAUUGAAAAUUCUAAAGAAAAUCUUUAAGACAGAAAUCAAUGGGGCCGAUGCACCUUUUCUGCGAUGGAACCCUUUCCUCACAGAUUUGCUAACAGUGUUAGAAUCUGCAGCAUUCAGCGACCUUUACUGGCUAGUUCCAUUUAUCAAGACGAAUUUUGCUUUUAAGACGCCUAUCCAACGCGGAAAUGCUUCUUAUAAUAUUAUAAGAUAUUAUGAAGGUUUGAACGGGCUAGACAAGUUUGUUUUCGAAGCAAUUGUUAACGGGGUCCCUGUUCCGACUGACUGGUUGUCACUCAAAUUGCAAACACACUACUUCUUUAGAAAAACAAUACAGUAUGCCUUAAACAAAUAUGGGUUCACGUACUCUUUGACUUCGUUCGGAUGCUUCAAAUUUCAAAGAAAUAAAACGACUCAUGAUGGGAUAGUGUCUCCAUGGCACUUGAGUGACCACGAGAUUUCUAUGCUCUUAAGAAGUUUUGUUGCGGAGGUUGUUCGGGAGCUCUUGAAGCAACGUGUCCCGAUCAAGAAGGCCUUGCAGUAA